rnacentral:rRNA from 1 species
GGUCGAUUCGGCUCAGAUUGAACGCUGGCGGGAGCGGCACAUGCAAGUCGACGGCAGCACGGACUUCGGUCUGCGGGUAAGGAGUGGCGCGAACGGUGAGAGGUGUCGUAUCGGAACGUGCCUAGUAGCGGGGGAUAAUCUACGCGAAAGGUAGCUAAUAUACCGCAUAAUACCUUCGGGGGAAAGCGGGGAUCCUUCGGGCCUCGCACUAUUAGAGCGGCCGAUAUCGGAUUAGCUAGUUGGUGGGUAACGGUCAUCAAGGCGACGAUCCAGCUGGUUUGAGAGGAUGACCAGCCACACUGGACUGAGAUUACUCGGCCCAGACUCUACGAGGCAGGGGGUAAUGCGGAUAAUGGGGAAACCUCGAUCCAGCCAUCCUGCGGUGUGUGCGAUGAAGGCUUUCGGGCUAAAGUAAUUUUGGCAGGAAAGAAACGGCACGGGAUAAUACCCCGUGCAAUCGACGUAUACCUGCAGAAGAGGGCACCGCUAACUACGCGCCAGCAGCCGCGGUAAUACGCAAAAGACAGCAACGAAAUUACUGGGCGUAAGCGCAGCAGGCGGUUCUGGAAAGAAAGAUGUGAAACUCAGAGCGAACUUUGGAACUGAUGUGAACAACGAGCGGAUGAAGUCGAGGAGGUGGGAAUUCGCGCAGCAGUGAAAUGCGUAGAUAUGCGGAGGAACACCGAUGGCAAGGCAGCUCUCCUGGGAUAACACUGACGCUCAUGCACGAAAGCGUGGGGAGCAAACAGGAUUAGAUAAUUCUGGUAGUCCACGCCCAAACGAUGUCAACUAGCUGUUGGGGCUUCUCGGGCUUGGUGAAAAGCAAAGAACGCGAAGUUGACCGUCUGUGGGAGCACGGCCGCAAGAUUAAAAACUCAAAGGAAUUUGAGGACCCGCACAAGCGGUGGAUGAUGUGGAUUGAAUUUUACGCAACGCGAAAACCUUAACGGCCCUGACAUGUCUGGAAUCCCGAAGAGAUUUGGGAGUGCUCGUAAGAGAACCGGAACACAGGUGCUGUACAGCUGCCGUCAGCUCGUGUCGUGAGAUGUUGGGUUAAUCCCAACGAGCGCAACCUUGUCAUUAGUUGCUACGAAAGGGCACUCUAAUGAGACUGCCGGUGACAAACCGGAGGAAGUGUGAUGACGUCAAGUCCUCAUGGCCCUUAUGGUAGGGCUUCACACGUCAGCAAAAGCAAUGGUCGGAUGAGGUCGCCAAACCAGCAGGGGGAGCCAAUCCCAGAAACCCGAUCGUAGUCCGGAUCGCAGUUCGCAACUCGACUGCGUGAAGUCGGAAUCGCUAGUAAUCGCGGAUCAGCAUGUCGCGGUGAAUACGUUCCCGGGUCUUGUACACACCGCCUGUCACACCAUGGGAGUGGGUUUUACCGAAGUAGCGGCCUAACCGUGCGGGAGGCGAUUACCACGUAGGAUCUGAAUACACUGGGUAAGUCGUACAUGCAA